AUCCACACAAUCAACGUGAACUCCUGUCGUGAGUGACUGGGUGGAGAUGGCUGGCUCGGMUGAUCUUUUUGGCUGGGUCACUUCCUCUGCUCAGGAGCUCGAGGGUGGCARGGCACUCCUGCGGCCUCCGGGUCCCGGGUGUGUUCCUGUUGCCAGCUUCUUGACUGAUUUAAUAGUCUCUUCUUACUUGUUGCAGCGCAACUUCUAUGAGUUUUACUCAUUACAACUUUCAGCGACGGAUAUCUCGGCUCAAGCACCGAUGAAGGGCGCAGCGAAGUGUGAUAAUCAUUGUGAAUUGCAGAAUUCCGUGAACCAAUGGAUCUUUGAACGUGCAUUGCACUCUCGGGAUAUCCCUGGGAGUAUGCCUGCUUCAGUGCUUGUGGAAUCCUCAUGCAGGUGCUUGUCCAUCUUGGAUGUGCCUGCGUCUUUGUGUGCCAUGGCUCUGUCUUCUGGGCGGAGUUAGUGGCGCAUUCAGGGUUAGCGAUUGCUCUGGCAUCUGCAACUUGUGAAGUACACUCCUGUGCAUCUGCUGGUUGUGUUGCCUCAAAGAGCUUUCUGACAUAGCUUCGGCUAUCUCCUGCACAGCAUGAAGUCAGGUCAGCAAACCCGCUGAAUUUAAGCAUAUAAGUAAGCGGAGGAAAAGGAACUAAAUAGGAUUCCCUUAGUAAUGGCGAACGAACAGGGAUGAGCUCGGCUUGGAAACUGGGGCCUUGGCCUUGGAUUGUAGCCUCUAGACAUAGUGCCAACGGAGGCGCAGGUGCAAGCCUCUUGGAAAAGAGCAUCAAUGUGGGUGAGAAUCCUGUGUUUCACUUGCAGUCCACCGUGCACGGSACAUGUUCUCAGAGUCGCGUUCCUCGGAAUUGGAGACAAGUACCAUGAGGGAAAGAUGAAAAGGACUUUGAAAAGAGAGUUAAAAGUGCUUGAAAUCGCUGAAAGGGAAGCGAAUGGAACCAGUCUUCUGGCUGAGAUUGCUGCAUGCUACUGUGAUGCCUGGCUGCUUCAACGCAAGUGUUGUAGUUAGAGUUGAUCAGCUGCGUGUGGUGUUUCUCAGCUUGUUAGUCAACCUCUGUUUGCGCUUGGGGAUAGCCUCAGGUACACGUCGCUUCUCUGCGGAGUUGCUCCUGUGCUUGUAGGGACUCAGGUGCAUACUUUUGGUGACAAAAUGGUUCUCUUCGACCCGUCUUGAAACACGGACCAAGGAGUCUAGCACAUGUGCAAGUUCACAGGUGGCAAGCCUGCUUGCGCAAUGAAGGNGACUGCUGGGAUAUUUGCACCAGCAACCGACCAAUCAAUUGAGAGAAGUUUGAGUAUGAGCAUAUGUGUUAGGACCCG
rnacentral:rRNA from 1 species